rnacentral:rRNA from 1 species
UACGGGGGGGGCAAGCGUUGUUCGGAAUUACUGGGCGUAAAGGGCUCGUAGGCGGCCAACUAAGUCGGAUGUGAAAUCCCCAGGCUUAACCUGGGAACUGCGUUUGAUACGGAUGGGCUAGAGUUCGGGAGAGGAGAGUGGAAUUCCCAGUGUAGAGGUGAAAUUCGUAGAUAUUGGGAAGAACACCGGUGGCGAAGGCGGCUCUCUGGACCGAGACUGACGCUGAGGCGCGAAAGCGUGGGGAGCAAACAGG